rnacentral:tRNA from 1 species
UUUUUAUUAGUUUAAACUAAAAAUAUUAAAUUUGCAUUUUAAAGAAUACUUUUUAUUUAGUUUAAAAAA